GCAUCCAUUGGUGAGCAAGUGAUGGAAUGCUAAAAUUUACCAAAUCUUUUCCAACGAAGAAACAAACUCAACUCAUUUAAAAUAAAAAGUUAAAUAAUAAAGAAUGAAAAUGUGCACAUAUUUUAUUUGUAAAAUUGAGUAGGAUUUGGAUCAAAUUCAGCGGCGAAAACCAGAAACAAGGACUUUCUUUACCAACGGCCUGUUCAGACUCAUUUGGAGAGGAAGAUACAGUGCUUUACUCAACCAUCAACUUCAUUCAAUCCCCCUCUCAACCACCAGGUAA